rnacentral:rRNA from 1 species
AACGUAGGAGGCGAGCGUUAUCCGGAUUCACUGGGCGUAAAGCGCACGUAGGCGGUCGGGUAAGUCGGAUGUUAAAGCCCCUGGCUCAACUAGGGGAGGCCAUUCGAUACUGCUCGGCUUGAGGAUGAGAGAGGAAAGUGGAAUUCCCGGUGUAGCGGUGGAAUGCGUAGAGAUCGGGAGGAACACCAGUGGCGAAAGCGGCUUUCUGGCUCAUUCCUGACGCUGAGUGUGCGAAAGCGUGGGUAGCAAACGGG